rnacentral:rRNA from 1 species
UACGGAGGGGGCUAGCGUUGUUCGGAAUUACUGGGCGUAAAGCGCACGUAGGCGGCUUUGUAAGUUAGAGGUGAAAGCCCCGGCUCAACUGGGGAGGGUCAUUCGAUACUGGUCGACUCGAAGGCAGGAGAGGGAAGCGGAAUUCCCGGUGUAGUGGUGAAAUGCGCAGAUAUCAGGAGGAACACCGGUGGCGAAGGCGGAUCUCUGGGCCUUACCUGACGCUCAGGUGCGAAAGCUAGGGGAGCGAACAGG